AAUUUAAAAAGAAUUGUAAAACUAUUUGUGACAGCUCAUUUACAUAUUUCUCCUGCGCAGCGCCCUCGCUUGACCCUUAAGGUAAAGCUCACACUUAUCCUUGAGUGAGUCAUUCCACCACUAGCACUGGUCCUCUUAACACCACACACAGUGUCCUGCUUCCUUCUACAUAUGUACUUUAGUUAAUGCCUCAAGAUUUUGUGGAUGACUCGACUGGGGGUUUUGUUUUGGUUUUGCUUCACUUAAAAGAUGCAGUUCACCAUUAAAUGAACCAGACACAGUAAUGUA